CCUACCCAUUUCCCUUCCCUUAAAUCCCUAAAACCUAGACAAGAGAGGGAGGAGAUGAUUUUUUUAGACCCCUGCCAUUACAAACGGCUAACACGGAGCCCUCCCUUCUGCUUCUUGCGCUUCAUUUCUAAAAGAAGAGAAGAUAGACCAAAAUCAUCACCACGACCACCCAUCCAAGAAGAUCAGCGGCUGAAUCAAAAAAUCAAAAUCAUUAAAGAGAUUUCAAGAGUUGCCUGAUAUCUCUGUUGCUUUUAUACAAGUUCAGUUAUUUAUAAAGCUGAUUUUAGCUGGGAUUGGAGGCUGUCUUCGAUUUGUUUGUUGUUGAUUAUUGCUGAAGCUCUAUAAGCCAUUGCUUGGUUCUUUGCUACUGUUGUCUCCUUGUUUGGCCGUUUCUGCUGCCCAAUUUCAUUCAUCAAUUUGGACCUUUAUUUGGGUCAUUGUUCCUACGGGUCUCUCUGCAGUUAGGUAUAUGUGAUUGUCGUGUCCUAGCCUCGUCACUACUUCGCCGAGGUUAGGCUCGACACUUACUCAGUACAUGGGGUCGGUUGUACUGAUACUACACUCUAUACUCUUUUGUGCAAAUUUCGGUAUCGGACCCGGUAAGUAUCUGCGGUAGCUGCCUUCAGUCCAGGGAGACCAAGGUAGAUUUGCUGGCGUUCGCAGAGCCUAAAGUCCCCCUUCCCUAUUUAGCUUUUCUACUGUCUCUUUUCUUUCCCGAGAACAGUUGUACUUUCUUUUCAGACCAGUAUUUGUAGUAACUCGUAGAUGUCAUGAAGUUGUGACACCGGAUCCGUAGGUAGACUUGUAUUGGAUUAUUUGAUCAUGCUAUAACUCUUCCGCAUUUA